UACGGAGGGGGCUAGCGUUGUUCGGAAUUACUGGGCGUAAAGCGCGCGUAGGCGGCUUUGCAAGUUAGAGGUGAAAGCCCGAAGCUCAACUUCGGAAUUGCCUUUAAAACUGCGAGGCUAGAAUUGUGGAGAGGUAAGUGGAAUUCCGAGUGUAGAGGUGAAAUUCGUAGAUAUUCGGAAGAACACCAGUGGCGAAGGCGGCUCACUGGCUCAUACUGGACGCUGAGGUGCGAAAGCGUGGGGAGCAAACAGG
rnacentral:rRNA from 1 species